AUUGAUUUUAUGCUUGCAUAAAUGAUUUUUGGAUUCGGAGCGAGUGGCGAACUGGUGAGUAACACGUGGGUAACCUGCCCCGAAGCGGGGGAUAACAUUUGGAAACAAGUGCUAAUACCGCAUAAUUAGUUGGAACCGCAUGGUUCCAACUUGAAAGAUGGCUCUGCUAUCACUUUGGGAUGGACCCGCGCCGUAUUAGUUAGUUGGUGAGAUAAAAGCCCACCAAGACGAUGAUACGUAGCCGACCUGAGAGGGUAAUCGGCCACAUUGGGACUGAGACACGGCCCAGACUCCUACGGGAGGCAGCAGUAGGGAAUCUUCCACAAUGGACGAAAGUCUGAUGGAGCAACGCCGCGUGAGUGAUGAAGGUUUUCGGAUCGUAAAACUCUGUUGUUAAAGAAGAACAAGUGUUAGAGUAACUGUUAACACUUUGACGGUAUUUAACCAGAAAGCCACGGCUAACUACGUGCCAGCAGCCGCGGUAAUACGUAGGUGGCAAGCGUUGUCCGGAUUUAUUGGGCGUAAAGCGAGCGCAGGCGGUUUUGUAAGUCUGCUGUGAAAGCCCUCAGCUCAACUGAGGAAGUGCAGUGGAAACUACAAAGCUUGAGUACAGAAGAGGAAAGUGGAACUCCAUGUGUAGCGGUGAAAUGCGUAGAUAUAUGGAAGAACACCAGUGGCGAAGGCGGCUUUCUGGUCUGUUACUGACGCUGAGGCUCGAAAGCAUGGGUAGCGAACAGGAUUAGAUACCCUGGUAGUCCAUGCCGUAAACGAUGAAUACUAGGUGUUGGAGGGUUUCCGCCCUUCAGUGCCGCAGCUAACGCAUUAAGUAUUCCGCCUGGGGAGUACGACCGCAAGGUUGAAACUCAAAGGAAUUGACGGGGGCCCGCACAAGUGGUGGAGCAUGUGGUUUAAUUCGAUGCUACGCGAAGAACCUUACCAGCUCUUGACAUCUUCUGCCAACCCAAGAGAUUGGGCAUUCCCUUCGGGGACAGAAUGACAGGUGGUGCAUGGUUGUCGUCAGCUCGUGUCGUGAGAUGUUGGGUUAAGUCCCGCAACGAGCGCAACCCUUAUUAUUAGUUGCCAGCAUUUAGUUGGGCACUCUAGUGAGACUGCCGGUGAUAAA
rnacentral:rRNA from 1 species